UACGUAGGGCGCAAGCGUUGGCCGGAAUUAUUGGGCGUAAAGAGCUCGUAGGCGGCUUGUCGCGUCGGAUGUGAAAGCCCGGGGCUUAACCCCGGGUCUGCAUUCGAUACGGGCAGGCUGGAGUGUGGUAGGGGAGAUCGGAAUUCCUGGUGUAGCGGUGAAAUGCGCAGAUAUCAGGAGGAACACCGGUGGCGAAAGCGGCUCACUGGCCCGAUAUUGACGCUCAUGUACGAAAGCGUGGGGAGCAAACAGG
rnacentral:rRNA from 1 species